UAGAGUUUGAUCCUGGCUCAGGAUGAACGCUGGCGGCGUGCUUAACACAUGCAAGUCGAACGAAGCGCUACCGACGGAACUUUUCGGAGGGAAGAUGGUAAUGACUGAGUGGCGGACGGGUGAGUAACGCGUGGGUAACCUGCCUCACAGAGGGGGACAACAGCCGGAAACGGCUGCUAAUACCGCAUAACAAGGGAUUGCCGCAUGACGAUCCUUUCAAAGAUUUAUCGCUGUGAGAUGGACCCGCGUCUGAUUAGCUUGUUGGUGGGGUAACGGCCUACCAAGUCAACGAUCAGUAGCCGGACUGAGAGGUUGAACGGCCACAUUGGGACUGAGAUACGGCCCAGACUCCUACGGGAGGCAGCAGUCGGGAAUAUUGCGCAAUGGAGGAAACUCUGACGCAGUGACGCCGCGUAUAGGAAGAAGGUCUUCGGAUUGUAAACUAUUGUCGUUAGGGAAGAAAAAGGACAGUACCUAAGGAGGAAGCUCCGGCUAACUACGUGCCAGCAGCCGCGGUAAUACGUAGGGAGCAAGCGUUAUCCGGAUUUAUUGGGUGUAAAGGGUGCGUAGACGGGAUAAUAAGUUAGUUGUGAAAUCCCUCGGCUCAACUGAGGAACUGCAACUAAAACUGUUAUUCUUGAGUGUUGGAGAGGAAAGCGGAAUUCCUAGUGUAGCGGUGAAAUGCGUAGAUAUUAGGAGGAACACCAGUGGCGAAGGCGGCUUUCUGGACAAUAACUGACGUUGAGGCACGAAAGUGUGGGGAGCAAACAGGAUUAGAUACCCUGGUAGUCCACACCGUAAACGAUGAAUACUAGGUGUAGGUUAUGUCAUGUAAUCUGUGCCGUCGCAAACGCAAUAAGUAUUCCACCUGGGGAGUACGGCCGCAAGGUUGAAACUCAAAGGAAUUGACGGGGGCCCGCACAAGCAGUGGAGUAUGUGGUUUAAUUCGAAGCAACGCGAAGAACCUUACCAGGGCUUGACAUAUAAGUGAAUAUAUUAGAGAUAAUAUAGUCCUUCGGGACACUUAUACAGGUGGUGCAUGGUUGUCGUCAGCUCGUGUCGUGAGAUGUUGGGUCAAGUCCCGCAACGAGCGCAACCCCUGCUUUUAGUUGCCAGCACGUAAUGGUGGGAACUCUAGAAGGACUGCCGGUGAUAAAUCGGAGGAAGGUGGGGACGACGUCAAAUCAUCAUGCCCUUUAUGUCCUGGGCUACACACGUACUACAAUGGCUGUAACAGAGGGAAGCAAGAUAGUGAUAUUAAGCAAAACCCAAAAAGCAGUCUCAGUUCGGAUUGAAGGCUGAAAUUCGCCUUCAUGAAGCCGGAAUUGCUAGUAAUGGCAGGUCAGCAUACUGCCGUGAAUACGUUCCCGGGCCUUGUACACACCGCCCGUCACACCAUGAGAGUUGGGGAUACCCGAAGCCUGUGAGCUAACAGUAAUGAAGCAGCAGUCGAAGGUAGAAUCAAUGAUUGGGGUGAAGUCGUAACAAGGUAACCGUAA
rnacentral:rRNA from 1 species